AGUUUGUUGGUCGGUCACGGUGCGCGUCUCGACUCCAGUUUACAAUCGACGCCUAGAUGAGUCGUGUCGCGGCGUCGCGCAACCCUAUUAUCUACUUAGCUACGUUGCUACGUAAUAAAAAUACGGAAGUGAGGUUCCUGAUAGCGACAUAUAUAUAAAAGGAUAUAUAUAUAUAUAUAUAUAUAUCCUUUUUUCUUGGUUUAAAAAUCUAAUAAUAAAAUAUUGUUGGACAAUACGACGAGAGGAACAGUGCGAGUCGGCUCGGAUGUCAGCUGCGCGACUCGAGCGACAAAUAGUGUACAACGAUCAAUUGUCAAAUGUGAAUCUCGUAUCUCGCGUGUGGCGAUACAACGAUACAAUGAUACCACGUGAACUGGCAUCGCGCAUCGAUGUCACAUCGACGUCGACACUUAAUUGGAAGCCAAGUGCAACGAGCGAUUGCAUUGGUUAGAAUGAGAAGGAAGAAACUGAAGCGGGAGCGGAAUUCACUUGAUGUGUCAGUACCUAAACGGAAGUAAGAACAGGAAUAUCUCGCGGUGAACGCAUCGAAACGUGCGUGCCCGUGCCGUUUGUAUAAGACGCUUGAUACUCGACGACAAUUUUUCACGAUCAAGUGUUGUUUCACGAUCCCGACGAAAUGCCGACUGUUCAAGAGUUGACGAUCGUUACGUCCAACGACACCAACGCAACGUACGACUACGAAUACGAUUACGACAUUAACGAAUCCUUUAAUUAUUUUAAUUGGGCUGAACUGGCACCCGUGCUCAUUGUUUACGGCUUAACUUUUGUCCUCGGAUUGGUCGGAAACGUCGUUAUGAUUGCUUCCACCCUCUGUCCACGGCUCAGACCGCUACCAGCGACACCGACGAAUGUCUUCUUGGGGGGCCUAGCUACGGCUGAUCUUUUGCUAAUUAUAUUCUGCAUACCCGUGAAGGUAGCAAAAUUGUUCUCCUACACCUGGACAAUGGGUCUCUUCCUAUGCAAAGCGGUGCAUUACAUGCAGAGCGUGUCGGCCAUUUGCUCGGUCGUCACUCUUACCGCAAUGUCGAUCGAAAGGUAUUACGCGAUAGUGCAUCCGAUGAGAGCGCAGUAUACGUGCACAAUAAGCCAAGCUCGCAGGAUCGUAAUUAUAACUUGGAUCGCGGCGUUCCUAUUGGGAAUUCCAGUAGUGUUUACACAGAUGCACAAACAAGUGGGACUGAAAUUGAUUGCUUACUGGUGCGUGCGCGAUUCCGAAGUUGGACUCUUGUGGCAGAUUCACGAGGUCUACAUGCUCCUCUUGGUUCUCGUCCUGCCGCUGACCAUAAUGGCGUUCUGCUACACGACUAUUUGCUGGGAGAUCUGGCGCGUUAUGAAGCGUCGAUAUCAUAUGACGUCGCGACACGCAUUACACCCAAACAGCACGGACGUAGAAUCUAUAGCGAUGACGACGAAGGGACAGAGCGUCACGAGAAACGAACGGCGGGCACGGUGUCGCGACGACACCGACGACGAGUCGGCACGGACCAUGAAGCAGGUGGUGAAGAUGUUAGUGGCCGUUGUGGUCCUGUUCGCGCUAUGCUGGGGCCCGAUCCUCAUCGACAAUGUGCUAACCGCUUACAGUUACCUUCCUCGCGUCAAGAGCGGGCCGCACAAGCACCUUAACACUGUGUUUCAACUGAUGGCCUACUUUAACAGCUGCAUAAACCCGAUAGUGUACGGGUUUAUGUCGAAGCACUUCAGGAAGAACUUUUUGUCGGCCGCCUGUGGUGGAUGGUGGAUUUGCUGCUCCAAAAGAGGCUACCGAGCAUCCGUCAUGAGGCAUCCCAGCCUCAGCCAGACCAGGACCACCAGUGUGAGGUGGAUUCGUAACUCGUCCGACCUGCAUCCUGUAGUUUAUCCGUGACACGCUCGCGGGAGACGAGAACCAAGCCCGUGCAUGCUUCACGAAUGUCCGGCUAGAAUAGACGAAUGCAGCAUCGUGCGAUAAUCAAUCGAGGUAAAUUAAAUUAACUAAACGUAAACGUCAGCAUCAACAUCACACUGUCACACUGCUCAUUCGCACAUUCGCAUAUUCGCAAAUCUGACCGCUUACUAAUUUCUCGUGCGCUUCCUACGUCUUACUUCGCGGAAAAUCAGAGGAUCAAGCAAGGGACGUUUGCCUUUCGCCUCAUCGGUCCUGCACGUAGUCUCCUGUGUAUGGACCUGAUUCUUUCUUCAUCCCCGAGUCAAGUCGUCGAGGGAGAUCUCCGUCAGACAGAAGACUUUCGACGGAUAGUGAAUAAAGCGUCGGUAGAAGUGCGAUUGCGAGAUUUACAAUAGUAAGAGGUGUAUACACACACACAUACACAUACACACACACACGUCGCCCUACGACCGCCUUCGCGAUCACCCUCAACUGUUGCAAAACUGUUGCAAAACGUGUAAAAACGCGUCUUGAUAAGUAUACCGCAGGUAACUCCCCGCAAAGCUUUCUGCCGCGCAAGAUUAUCGUGCAAUCAAUGCGGUUCCCCGGCUUUCAUUCACAUCACGCGCAAAUUCUCACUCGUUAGCGGCCAGAUAAUCGUUAAACGUUAGAAUAAUUAAACCUAUAUUUAAUCCUUUCCCCACUCCCACCUCCCGCGGUUUCGGAAACGGGCAACACGGGCAACCGACAUUGGAUUGGAUAUCACGAGGCUAUGAAUAGCGCGUAAACAUGUUCAUCUCCGAGAUCUCGUAUAAAUCACUACAUCUCUCUAAUUCACCGUAUACGAAUAUAUAUUUCACCGAAAUGAACAAAUAAGGCUGGUUAUAUCGCUAAAGAUCAGAGAAGACGAUUGAACAUUCGCUUAGAAAGUUAGUCUCUCUCGAAUGGCGAUUCGGGAGUCGGAUCCUGCUCAAUUUGCAGAAUCGCUCUCAACGCGUGUCAAAUGUAAUUUUUUUUAAUGCUUACGAAUAAUCCAGAGAAGAUUCUGCCGAGUCCGAGGCACCAACGCAAAUACAAAUUGUUGUCUCGAGAAAAGGACAGAACCGUAUAAAUUUACCGUAUAAAUAUACUCUCUCGAUAUAUUUCGAGAAAUAUCCGCUGCGAGAUGUAUAUGAUCGCGGCCGAUAAACACUCGUACACUAUCUAUCUAAGGAACAUUUGUCAAACAUCGUGCAACGACGACGACGAAAAGUCAUUUAUUCGCGGCGCGUUUGCCAAACGGUUGGCGGAUAUUUUUCAAUCAAAUUCCGCAUAGAUUUCCCGCAAUGUGCUUAUUAUUAGGCUGUAAAUUCGUGUUUACUUUACCAUCAUAUAUGCAUGCUUGCAUGUCUAAAGCGUUUGAAGAGAGAAAAAUAAUCGCUACAAUACUCUUCUACACUAGGUGCAUCAUCUUUCCACUUGGCGCAGGAUUAAAAUCAACGUUUACAGGAUUAUGGGCGUGUGCGAAGAACAGUUUUUAUUUUAAAUUUACGUGAGCUUGGACGGCGAAAAAUCGAUUUUCGUACACGUACUAUAAUUAUAUUAAUGCUGCUGUUAGAAUGUCCUAUUGCAGGUGGCGCGCCGAGUUAGCUUUAGUUUAGAAGGGAUAAGAUGAAGGGAUGAGCGUUUUUGUUACGGAGAAAGGAAAGAGAUCACAGCUCAACAACGUUUUAAUCACGCAACGUAUGGAUCUAUAAGUAGUCCACAAUGUGUCGGAAACGGAUGCUUUAGAUGCUUUAAAUUCAUACUAGUCAACUUCUCCGAGAAUUAUAUUAUUUUCAUUACAGCGAAAAACAAAUAUUAAAUAAAUGUCGAACAAAUGUGUGCUUCUUCUUCUUCUUCUUUUUUCUUUCUUUUGAUUUCAUUUACUUUAAUUCGAAAAUCUCCCGCAUCAUCCAAGUCCUCCGGUAAAUCUUCCACCAGUUGAAUUCUUACAAAAAUAUAUUGAAUAUUCUCUGUAAUGUGAUUACGAUAUAUCGAUCGUAUACCAUCUCCAUACUCAUGACCAGGGUAUAUGAGAUAAGGUUACUACGACGAUUAUACCGACGGAUCUGAUGAUCGUGGCUCUCGACGUCGAUAAUGUGGUAAAUCGAACGUUCCAAAUAUUCGAUAACAUUCGACAUUUCGAACGUUUGCAGGCAGGUGACACCUCCUGGCAAUUAAUCCUGGUAAUUAAUCAUAGCCCCCGCUCUGCUCGCGCCAGGCUAAAUUAAACGCUCGAGAAACUCGAGUUGCGAUUGCUCAUGCCGUAUGCUUUGUGCUUGUUAACUACUGCCUAUUUGUUAAGGUGUCACGUAGAGCCAAAGAGAGCCAAUACGAAGGAAUGCCGAAGGAAAAACACGACAAUUGAUAUAUUCGCAAAGAGAUAUGCGUAUGUGCGCGUAGGUUAGCAUUUGUUACAAUAAUACAUAUUUUAGAGUAAAAAUAUAACAAGUCGCAACUUUGAUGAACAACCACGCGAGAUUUCAUUGCAAAACGACAAACGUAAACGUAGUACGAGAAUAUUUAUUUGCCGAGUAUUAUGCCGCUUGCUCGUUACGAGCAAGCGGCAUAAACAAAUUGAAAAGCACCCCGCCUCGCAUCGAGCGAGCCAUUACGCCGGGCAACAGGAGUGACAUGCCGCUAUAUUAUUUGCCGAAGCAACGAGAGCAAGCCGCCUAUCUAUAAUACUGGUGAAAGAAGUCUGAAAUAUGACACGAUAACACAGCGAAAGGCCACUCGCAAAAACAUAUAUAUAUAUAUAUAUAUAUAUAUAUAUAUAACCAAUACGAGAAAUCAGACAGAUAAGUCGCACAUAAUCCGCAUGUUGCGUCGCAAGGAGGAAAUACAAUGGGGUUUCAGAGGGGCUAAUGAGAAACGAUACAAGAAGAAUAAGAGGAUGCAGGAUAGAUGACGAUUUCUGCAAGCAAGACAAUUAAUGAGCGUACUGUGCGUUGUACAGAUACAUGUAAACGAUACGUGUAAAAGAACAAGAAAAAAAAAGAGACAGGAAACGAUGAAAGAAGAGCAAGAGUAUUGUUGUGUGAGCAAGUUUAUGCGCAUAUUCAUGCGUUUAGAAUGCGUAGAGAUACUUAUUUGAAAGUGGUACAAGCGCAAUAUCAUUAAAAUAAUACGACUUGCAUCUUGUCAAGGAAUAAAGCUCCGAGUAUCAAACAAGGCUGCUGUUUGCGGCGUGUAAAACCGGCUGAUCAAGCUUCCAAUAAUUUCAAAGCCGCUUUUGAGAGAAUAGAUCGGUUUCAUUUAUAUCGCCCUCAUCUCUUAGAGUUUCGAAGAAUUGAAUUUCGAAGAAUCCAAAAAGAGAAAGAAAAAUUAUACACGAGAAGAAACUGCUAUACAACUUACCUGAGAUAACAAUAAACACAAUGGAAAUUAUCCGAAGAAUUCGCCUGUGAAUAUCACCGUCGGUCUCCUCGCUUUAAUUUAAAAUUUAACCAACCGAUGCAACAGUCGGUAAGAAAGGAAAACACAUGACUGCUAAACUCUCGCAGAGGAAUACCAACGACUAGCUCACGUAUAUAAUCUUGAUUUAUUUUAAAUAAAGUUCUAUCAACGUAAAACUCUCUUUAUAUUCUGUUGAAUUUAAUACUUUCUGUGAUACAGUAUCAGAACAGUAUGCACUCAGAGGAAAAUACAAUACCAGAUUGUACUUUAAAAGUCUUAUUGCGACAUAUUUGAGACAAUCUUAAAUCCUCAUUACUUAGAAUGAAACUGUCAGUAUAUAAAUAUAAUAUACAUGCGCUGUUCUUACAUCGAGCGAAAAAUUCGUCGUAGCACACGUGUUAUAAACCUAAGCCAUCUUUACACCAUUCGAAAGUGGUACUGUCUCGAUAGAGACGCACGCACGCACGCACGCACGCGCA
rnacentral:misc_RNA from 1 species